rnacentral:rRNA from 1 species
CUAUGCGCCUUGCCAGCCCGCUCAGGUGUGCCAGCAGCCGCGGUAAUACGUAGGUGGCGAGCGUUAUCCGGAAUGAUUGGGCGUAAAGGGUGCGCAGGCGGUCCCUGCAAGUCUGGAGUGAAACGCAUGAGCUCAACUCAUGCAUGGCUUUGGAAACUGGAGGACUGGAGAGCAGGAGAGGGCGGUGGAACUCCAUGUGUAGCGGUAAAAUGCGUAGAUAUAUGGAAGAACACCAGUGGCGAAGGCGGCCGCCUGGCCUGUUGCUGACGCUGAGGCACGAAAGCGUGGGAGCAAAUAGG